rnacentral:rRNA from 1 species
UACGUAGGGUGCGAGCGUUGUCCGGAAUUAUUGGGCGUAAAGAGCUCGUAGGCGGCCUGUCGCGUCGGAUGUGAAAGCCCGGGGCUUAACCCCGGGUCUGCAUUCGAUACGGGCUAGCUAGAAUUCGGUAGGGGAGACUGGAAUUCCUGGUGUAGCGGUGAAAUGCGCAGAUAUCAGGAGGAACACCGAUGGCGAAGGCAGGUCUCUGGGCCACUACUGACGCUGAGAAGCGAAAGCAUGGGGAGCGAACAGG